rnacentral:rRNA from 1 species
UACGUAGGGGGCUAGCGUUGUCCGGAUUUAUUGGGCGUAAAGAGCGUGUAGGCGGCCAGAUAGGUCUGCUGUGAAAACUCGAGGCUCAACCUCGAGAUGUCGGCGGAAACCAUUUGGCUAGAGUCCGGAAGAGGAAAGUGGAAUUCCUGGUGUAGCGGUGAAAUGCGCAGAUAUCAGGAAGAACACCCGUGGCGAAGGCGGCUACCUGGACCGGAACUGACGCUGAUGCGCGAAAGCGUGGGUAGCAAACAGG